CUGGCUGAUAUGAUGACUGC
rnacentral:siRNA from 1 species